rnacentral:rRNA from 1 species
UACGGAGGGUGCAAGCGUUGUUCGGAAUUAUUGGGCGUAAAGCGCGUGUAGGCGGCCAAAUAAGUCUGGUGUGAAAGCCCAGAGCUUAACUCUGGAAGAGCACUGGAUACUGUUUGGCUAGAGGACGAGAGAGGAAAGUGGAGUUCCUGGUGUAGGGGUGAAAUCCGUAGAUAUCAGGAGGAACAUCGGUGGCGAAGGCGACUUUCUGGCUCGUUUCUGACGCUCAGACGCGAAAGCGUGGGGAGCAAAC